rnacentral:rRNA from 1 species
AACGAACGCUGGCGGCAUGCCUAACACAUGCAAGUCGAACGAGACCUUCGGGUCUAGUGGCGCACGGGUGCGUAACGCGUGGGAACCUGCCCUUAGGUUCGGAAUAACUCCCCGAAAGGGGUGCUAAUACCGGAUAAUGUCUUCGGACCAAAGAUUUAUCGCCUUUGGAUGGGCCCGCGUUGGAUUAGCUAGUUGGUAGGGUAAAAGCCUACCACGGCGACGAUCCAUAGCUGGUCUGUGAGGAUGAUCAGCCACACUGGGACUGAGACACGGCCCAGACUCCUACGGGAGGCAGCAGUGGGGAAUAUUGGAAAAUGGGCGAAAGCCUGAAGCAGCAAGGCCGCGUGAGUGAUGAAGGCCGUAGGGUUGUAAAGCUCUUUUACCCGGGAUGAUAAUGACAGUACCGGGAGAAUAAGCUCCGGCUAACUACGUG